UACAGAGGGUGCGAGCGUUGUUCGGAAUCACUGGGCGUAAAGCGCACGUAGGCGGCUUUCUAAGUCAGGGGUGAAAUCCUGGAGCUCAACUCCAGAACUGCCUUUGAUACUGGAAAGCUUGAGUUCGGGAGAGGUGAGUGGAACUGCGAGUGUAGAGGUGAAAUUCGUAGAUAUUCGCAAGAACACCAGUGGCGAAGGCGGCUCACUGGCCCGAUACUGACGCUGAGGUGCGAAAGCGUGGGGAGCAAACAGG
rnacentral:rRNA from 1 species